UUUCAAUGACGAUAUCUUUGUCCAGUUCUGCUACUGAAUUCUAGUGAUUUGGUAUUUGUGACUCUGAGAAA